rnacentral:lncRNA from 1 species
UGCUAAUUAAUGUGAUCUAAUCCCUAUACAUUAUGUAUAUGGAAACACCACUAUGUACCCCAUGAAUGUGUACAAUUAUUGUCAAUUUAAAAAUACAAUUUUAAAAACACUCAUUUUAUUUUUUUAAAUUAAUUGUUCUUAUUUUAAAAAUUAUUAUUUUUUAGGGAUGGGAUCUCACUGCAUUGCUCAGGCUGGUCUCAAACUCCUGGGCUCAAGCAAUCUUCCUGCCUUAGCUUCCCAAAGUUCUGGGAUUACAGGCAUGAGCCACCACUCCCAGCCAAAAAAAAAAAUACUCAUUUAAAGCUGCACAAGUUUGAUGGCACAAGUCUGUAUAACUGGACCUGUGCCUUUAUAAAACCUCAAACACUGCAAAGGUUCAUGAAACAAUGUAUAUCUAUUCUUCUUAUUCACUGUCAUCAAUGCUGACCAGGGAAAAUUGCACAGGUGCACGUGUGUGUGUGUGUGUGUAGGGCUAGUGAAGCAGGCAACUACCAGAGAUACAUUAUUAAAAAGCUAACAUUUAUUGGCCAGGCGCGGUGGCUUACGUCUGUAAUCCCAGCACUCUCACGGGUGGUGCCUCCCCGGCAAUGGGGGUCCCAAGAUCCAGGGGGGGAAAAGGGGAUGGCUCUCAGCCACCACAAAAUGGGGGGCCUUUAUGUUCAGGUUUUGCCCAAGAGUCAGCUUAUUUGCUUCUUGUACUAGCAGGGCAGUUGCUGCCAAGGCCUCAAACAGGGGAGCCAUCCUUCAGAAACCCUGUCUAGUUGUUCAGAGACGUAGGCCACCGGCCUCAGCCAGGGCCCCACAGUUUGGGUUAAAAGUCCAGCUGCCAUCUUUUCUCUCUCUAACGCAUACAAUGGAAAAGGCUUUGUCAGAUCGGGUAGCCCCAGGGCUGGGGCUGCCAGAAGUUUUUCCUUUAAGUCAUGAAAGACUUGCUGUUCUUGGAUCCCCAUUCCAAAGGUUCCGGUCCCCGCCCCCUUUGUGACCUCAUACAAAGGCUUGGCUAAUACUGCAAAGUUUGGGAUCCACAGUCUACAAAACCCCACAUCCCCUGAGAAUUCUCUCGCCUGCCUUAGGCACUUAGGCUCCGGGAGAUUGCAAAUAACCUGCUUUCUUUCUGUUCCCGGGCUGCGUUCGGACUCCUGUCAGAUAGUAAAUCCUAAGUGGCGUCGGACCCCUGUCAGAGAGUAAAUCUCAAGUAAGGUACCUGCCAUCGGCAGAUUUGAGCUUUCUUCUUGGACACCUAAUACCCACAGUCCUCCAGGCUCCGGUAGACUGCAAAUGACCUGCUUUCUUUCUGUUCCCGGGCUGCGUUUGGACCCCUGUCGGACAGUAAAUCCCAAGUAAGGUACCUGCCCUCGGCAGAUUUGAGCUUUCUUCUUGGACACCUAAUACCCACAGUCCUCCAGGAUAACUUCAGGAAGUGGGUAUUAAUUCUCACGGUAUAAGUGAAGACAUUAAGCACCAGAGUUUAAGUAGCUUGAUCCACUGAAAGAGAUUCAACUGUGUGGAACCUAUGCCGUGGAGAAUUGCUUUCUGCCAUUGUUAUCGUCCAGCAGUUGCCGAAUAGCUCUGACCUGAGCAAAGCAGUGAAACGCGGUGCUGUUGAGUGGGUUGCCACUGCACCUUUUUCAACUACUCUAGUCUUGUGGAGAAAAUACCCCUUCUAAAUUUUUUCUUCAUUGAAUACUCUCCCUCAGCUCCAGAGUACCAUAUAGAGUUUUCUUGUAUUUUAGAGUUACUGUUUUAUCAAAGUUUACCAGUCUUUUGUAUUACAUUUCUCCUGUCUAAAUCGACUGUGUGGUUUCUACUCAUUAUGGAUAUAGAUUGAUACAAACUCAAUAAAUAUUUUUGAAUGAAUAACUCCACAGUCCAAGUUAUUUUAAUCACUAUACAAAAUCUCCAGAGUUUCUCCCAUAUUUCUGAACAUGGUAACUAUGUAUCAAGAGACAAACCAC